CACACACACACACUUUCACUUAAAAACCAAACAAUCUAACCACUAGGCUAACAGCAUAUUAGCUGUUACUUCUCUGUUUCUAAUUAAUUUGAAUUAAUUAGAUUUCCGGACCAAAAUGGACCAAGCAUGCCUGACCAUCUGGACCGAACUGCCCAUAAAAAAGGGGCAAUUUCUGGUCUGGGUUUUAAAAUAUUGAUACUAAUGAUGCAGUUUCCACUGAGGAUGAUACAUGAACCAUUGACAUCAUCAAUAUCUUGAACCAUUGGCAUCAUCUAUCUUUUCUCAUUCAGAUGCACUUAUUACUCUGUUUUUUCAUGCUUGGGAGUUCAGGAGAAUAAAGAAGGCCUUGAGUUGCUCAAGAUUGCCAUUGCCAAAGCAGGCUAUACAGGAAAAGUUGUUAUUGGAAUGGAUGUUGCCGCUUCUGAAUUUUAUGGCACUGAUAAAACCUAUGAUCUGAACUUCAAAGAAGAGAAAAAUGACUGGUCGCAGAAGAUAUCAGGAAAUGCUUUAAAAGAUCUCUACAAAUCAUUUGUGGCUGAGUAUCCAAUUGUAUCAAUAGAAGACCUGUUUGAUCAAGAUGAAUGGGAGCAUUGCUCCAAGUUAACCUGUGAGAUUGGAGACGAGUACAGAUAAUGGGGGAUGACCUCUUGGUCACCAACCCAAAGGUUAGCUCUGGUAACUCUUUAUUUUUUAUUUUUUAUUUUUUAUUUUUGAUUUUUCCUUUCUUUUCAUUUUGGUAGAAAUCAUGAAUGGUACUUGUCCAGUGUUUUUAUAGUAAUAAAGAAGCACAUGGAAAAUCUUUUGGCUAAUGGUUAUAGGUUGUUUAUUUCAUUCCUUAAGAGUUAAUGCAUAUGAGAAAUAGAAUCAUCAAUGCAUCCAAGAAAGGUCUUAACUAGUUCCAAUCAUAUUAGCAUAGCUAAGAACUGAUCACCUACACUCGUAGAAUAAGUUAUGAUGCAGUCCCAUCUUUUAUGAUGUCAUUAUCAUGCAAAUGGUAGGCCAUCGUGAAGAUCACAUAGCACAGAAAUCAGGCUGGUCCACUCAUCAGGUAGCCCGUCUGACUCAACAUGCAGGGUGUGGCCCAACUGAUGUGUGGAUUCGCCUUAUUUUUCGAAGUGGGUGAUCUUCAAGAUGGAGCCUACCAUUUUCCAUGGUGCAGAUAUC